GAUGAACGCUGGCGGCGUGCCUAAUACAUGCAAGUCGAGCGAACUUUUGGGAGCUUGCUCCCAGAAGUUAGCGGCGGACGGGUGAGUAACACGUGGGCAACCUGCCUAUAAGACUGGGAUAACUUCGGGAAACCGGAGCUAAUACCGGAUAACAUAUGAUACCACAUGGUCUCAUAUUAAAAGAUGGCUUUUAGCUAUCACUUAUAGAUGGGCCCGCGGGGCAUUAGCUAGUUGGUGAGGUAAUGGCUCACCAAGGCGACGAUGCGUAGCCGACCUGAGAGGGUGAUCGGCCACACUGGGACUGAGACACGGCCCAGACUCCUACGGGAGGCAGCAGUAGGGAAUCUUCCGCAAUGGACGAAAGUCUGACGGAGCAACGCCGCGUGAGCGAAGAAGGUCUUCGGAUCGUAAAGCUCUGUUGUUAGGGAAGAACAAGUACCGUUCAAAUAGGGCGGUACCUUGACGGUACCUAACCAGAAAGCCACGGCUAACUACGUGCCAGCAGCCGCAGUAA
rnacentral:rRNA from 1 species